rnacentral:rRNA from 1 species
ACGGCGAGUGAAGCGGCAACAGCUCAAAUUUGAAAUCUGGCCCCCAGGGCCCGAGUUGUAAUUUGCAGAGGAUGCUUUUGGCGCGGUGCCUUCCGAGUUCCCUGGAACGGGACGCCAUAGAGGGUGAGAGCCCCGUCUGGUCGGACGCCUAGCCUGUGUAAAGCUCCUUCGACGAGUCGAGUAGUUUGGGAAUGCUGCUCUAAAUGGGAGGUAUAUGUCUUCUAAAGCUAAAUACCGGCCAGAGACCGAUAGCGCACAAGUAGAGUGAUCGAAAGAUGAAAAGCACUUUGAAAAGAGGGUUAAAUAGUACGUGAAAUUGUUGAAAGGGAAGCGCUUGUGACCAGACUUGGGCCCGGUGGAUCAUCCAGCGUUCUCGCUGGUGCACUCCGCCGGGUUCAGGCCAGCAUCAGUUCGCCGCGGGGGAAAAAGGCUUCGGGAACGUGGCUCCUACGGGAGUGUUAUAGCCCGUUGCAUAAUACCCUGGGGCGGACUGAGGUUCGCGCUCCGCAAGGAUGCUGGCGUAAUGGUCAUCAGCGACCCGUCUUGAAACACGGACCCCUGUGUGAAAUU